AGAUGCUAGGGGGGCCAGUAGGCCCAGGCAGUCUUGGGACUUGGGUCUGUCCUGCUGUGCAUCCAUAGUGGGUGCUUUAGAAACGGGAGGCCCACCCGAAGCCCCUGUUGCAAGUGAGGACAAAGUGUGGGAAGGCCGUGAGGGUCUGCAGUCCGGGAUGGCCUUGUCCUCAAUGUAGUGGCUGAGCUGGGGGAUGCCCUGGAACUCGGAGCACACAGCACUGGCUUACUGUGGUACCUGUGCAGUGAAAUUGAAGACAGAAUCACCAGGAUGGAACACAGGUCUUGCAGGAUCACUUGAAACCUUCUUAGAGUUGUCUUGACACCAGUGAUGUCGAGUGUCCGGGUGUUUGUAGGAUGGCCUGCCACUCAGUCCAGGGGCAGGAGCA
rnacentral:lncRNA from 1 species